rnacentral:rRNA from 1 species
GAUGAACGCUGGCGGCGUGCCUAAUACAUGCAAGUCGAGCGAACAGACGAGAAGCUUGCUUCUCUGAUGUUAGCGGCGGACGGGUGAGUAACACGUGGAUAACCUACCUAUAAGACUGGGAUAACUUCGGGAAACCGGAGCUAAUACCGGAUAAUAUUUUGAACCGCAUGGUUCAAAAGUGAAAGACGGUCUUGCUGUCACUUAUAGAUGGAUCCGCGCUGCAUUAGCUAGUUGGUAAGGUAACGGCUUACCAAGGCAACGAUGCAUAGCCGACCUGAGAGGGUGAUCGGCCACACUGGAACUGAGACACGGUCCAGACUCCUACGGGAGGCAGCAGUAGGGAAUCUUCCGCAAUGGGCGAAAGCCUGACGGAGCAACGCCGCGUGAGUGAUGAAGGUCUUCGGAUCGUAAAACUCCGUUAUUAGGGAAGAACAUAUGUGUAAGUAACUGUGCACAUCUUGACGGUACCUAAUCAGAAAGCCACGGCUAACUACGUG